rnacentral:ncRNA from 1 species
AUAUCAGGAGGAACACCGGUGGCGAAGGCGGAUCUCUGGGCCGAUACUGACGCUGAGGAGCGAAAGCGUGGGGAGCGAACAGGAUUAGAUACCCUGGUAGUCCACGCCGUAAACGGUGGGCACUAGGUGUGGGCAACAUUCCACGUUGUCCGUGCCGCAGCUAACGCAUUAAGUGCCCCGCUGGGGAUACGGCCGCAAGGCUAAAACUCAAAGGAAUUGACGGGGCCC